AGUGAACGCUGGCGGUAGGCCUAACACAUGCAAGUCGAACGGCAGCACAGUAAGAGCUUGCCCUUACGGGUGGCGAGUGGCGGACGGGUGAGGAAUACAUCGGAAUCUACUUUUUCGUGGGGGAUAACGGAGGGAAACUUACGCUAAUACCGCAUACGACCUACGGGUGAAAGCAGGGGAUCUUCGGACCUUGCGCGAUUGAAUGAGCCGAUGUCGGAUUAGCUAGUUGGCGGGGUAAAGGCACACCAAGGCGACGAUCCGUAGCUGGUCUGAGAGGAUGAUCAGCCACACUGGAACUGAGACACGGUCCAGACUCCUACGGGAGGCAGCAGUGGGGAAUAUUGGGCAAUGGGCGCAAGCCUGAUCCAGCCAUACCGCGUGGGUGAAGAAGGCCUUCGGGUUGUAAAGCCCUUUUGUUGGGAAAGAAAAGCAGCAGGUUAAUACCCCGCUGUUCUGACGGUACCCAAAGAAUAAGCACCGGCUAACUUCGUG
rnacentral:rRNA from 1 species